AAUAGUAGUUCUUCGCACAUUUGCUUCGAUUAAAAGUAAUAUUAUAUACAUUUUUUCCAAUAAGAUCAGUUAUUUCAAUUACAUUUGCUUAGUUAUAAAAUAGUUAUCGUAAGUGCCUAAAUUAUUGUAUAAAUACUUCGCCAGAUAUCAUCAAUACAAUAAGAUCCAGGUUGAGUUUCAUCGUACCUUAGUUAAUAUGCAUCAGAAAGGAAUUAGAAUAGACAUAUGAUCUGAACUGGAAGAGUAGCUAAUACGCACAUUGUCGUUACAAGAUCCUGAAGCAAGGGGUUCACCAAAACUCUUAAAGCUUACCCUUAAAAAACUGGUUUGCUCUUGAGAUUUGGAAUAUCCACUCCCCCACAACA